rnacentral:lncRNA from 1 species
GGGGGGGGGGGGGGGGGGGGGGGGGGGGGGGGGGGGGGGGGGGGGGGGGGGGGGGGGGGGGGGGGGGGGGGGGGGGGGGGGGGGGGAUGCCCAUGUGUAUUAUGGGAUGCCCAGGUGACAUUUUGGGGUCCCCAGGUGUAUUUUGGGGUCCCCAGGUGUAUUAUGGGAUGCCCAGGUGACACUUCGGGGUCCCCAGGUGAUAUUCUGGGAUGCCCAGGUGUAUUAUGGGAUGGCCAGGUGGCAUUUUAGGGUCCCCAGGUGCAUUAUGGGAUGGCCAGGUGGCAUUUUGGGGUCCCCAGGUGCAUUAUGGGAUGCCCAGAUGCAUUAUGGGAUGGCCAGGUGCAUUUCGGGGUCCCAGGGAUGGAUUUCGGGUUGCCCAGGUGUAUUAUGGGAUGCCCAGGUGA